AAAUUGAAGAGUUUGAUCAUGGCUCAGAUUGAACGCUGGCGGCAGGCCUAACACAUGCAAGUCGAGCGGCAGCGGGAAAGUAGCUUGCUACUUUUGCCGGCGAGCGGCGGACGGGUGAGUAAUGCCUGGGAAAUUGCCCAGUCGAGGGGGAUAACAGUUGGAAACGACUGCUAAUACCGCAUACGCCCUACGGGGGAAAGCAGGGGACCUUCGGGCCUUGCGCGAUUGGAUAUGCCCAGGUGGGAUUAGCUAGUUGGUGAGGUAAUGGCUCACCAAGGCGACGAU
rnacentral:rRNA from 1 species